rnacentral:rRNA from 1 species
AUUAAAGUUGUUGCAGUUAAAAAGCUCGUAGUUGGAUCUGGGUCGCAUGGCUACAUGCCGUUGCUCGUAUUCCUGGCCUGGUUCACACCGGGACGGGUUUGUGAGUCGGUGUCGUGGUUGUGCAGCCUUUCUGCCGUGUCUGUUUCGACAGGUGUUAGCAUGAUUGGUGGGUUCGUCCUGCUGAUCUGUUGACAUGCUUCCAGGUGCCCUUAACCGGGUGUCGGGGGCGGACGGCACGUUUACUUUGAACAAAUUUGAGUGCUCAAAGCAGGCCCGUGUGCCUGAAAAUUCUUGCAUGGAAUAAUGGAAUAGGACUUCGGUUCUAUUUUGUUGGUUUUCGGAUCCGAAGUAAUGGUUAAAAGGGACAGACGGGGGCAUUUGUAUGGCGGUGUUAGAGGUGAAAUUCUUGGAUCACCGCCAGACAAACUACAGCGAAAGCAUUUGCCAAGGAUGUUUUCAUUGAUCUGGAGCGAAAGUCAGAGGUUCGAAGACGAUCAGAUACCGUCCUAGUUCUGACCAUAAACGAUGCCAACUGACGAUCCGUGGUGGCGCGAUUAUUGGCCCCGCGGGCAGCCCCCGGGAAACCUUUAAGUCUUUGGGCUCCGGGGGAAGUAUGGUUGCAAAGCUGAAACUUAAAGGAAUUGACGGAAGGGCACCACCAGGAGUGGAGCCUGCGGCUUAAUUCGACUCAACACGGGAAAUCUCACCCGGCCCGGACACUGUGAGGAUUGACAGAUUGAUAGCUCUUUCUUGAUUCGGUGGUUGGUGGUGCAUGGCCGUUCUUAGUUGGUGGAGCGAUUUGUCUGGUUAAUUCCGAUAACGAACGAGACUUUGGCCUGCUAAAUAGUACGCCUGUCCUCUGUGCUCGUGCAGGUGGCGGUGCUCAUUGCCUCUCUGGGGUGAUGGUGCCGUUCGCCGGCGGGUGCGGCGCAGGUGUCUACUUCUUAGAGGGACAAGCGGCGUGCCAGUCGCACGAAAUUGAGCAAUAACAGGUCUGUGAUGCCCUUAGAUGUCCGGGGCCGCACGUGCGCUACAAUGACGGUUUCAACGAGUUUGGGAUCCUAGCCCGAAAGGGUUGGGUAAACUGAACCAUAACCGUCGUGA